rnacentral:rRNA from 1 species
GAAAAUUUUUAAAUAGCUGCAGUAUUUUAACUGUACAAAGGUAGCAUAAUCAAUAGUUUUUUAAUUAAAAGCUGGAAUGAAUGAUUUGAUAAAAAAUAAAUUAUCUUAAUUUUAUUGGGGUAAAAUUUUUUUUUUAAUAAAAAAGUUAAAUUGAUUUUAAAAGACGAGAAGACCCUAUAGAUUUUUAUAAUUUUUAUAAAUAAUUAAAAAAUUUAUUUUAGUAAAUUUUUAUUUAAAAAAUUAUUUGAUUGGGGUGAUUUUUAAAUUAAAUUAACUUUAAUUAUUUUUAAACAAUAAUUUUUGACUAUUUGAUCUUAUUUUUUGAUUAAUAGAAUAAAUUACCUUAGGGAUAACNAGCGUAAUUUUUUUGGAUAGAUCAUAUUGAUAAAAAAGUUUGCGACCUCGAUGUUGAAUUAAGAUAAAAUUU